rnacentral:lncRNA from 1 species
AUGAGGAAUGUUAUUUAUCAGCAGGCAUCCAGUGAUAUUUGGGAUGGAUUAGCAACUACUCCUUUGCUGUCACACUGUAGCACAUGUUCUGCUCCAUGCUUUUCCCUUCAUGGAUUUCACUUUAUCUCACCACAGGGGCUCCUUGGGAUCGAUGCAUUCCACUUCCAUCAGCAUCUCAGGCCUGCCCAGACAGCCUUUCCAAGCAGGAGUGGAUUUCCAGAUACAAUUUAUCUGUGCUGCUUGGCAGCUCAGCUGGCUCCCCUUCUCCUCCUGAGGAACACAACCACAUGCAGAUGCUAUUUAUACACCGGGCAAAUUAUUUCUGCAACCAUAUUUUCCCAAUAAAGCCUGCCUCCUGUCCCGUCCAAAAGGUGAGAGUCGUGAUCUGUGACUGUGAAAGAUUCCCUGGCACCUUCUGAAAGGUAAAUCCAGAGUCCUGGCAAAGUGUCAGCUUUCUAAUUGCAUUCUGUGGCCCUGUAGUAGCUCUUUCCUAGCAAACAGCUGAUGAAUUCCACCCCAGAUGUGACCAGGAGCCAGUCCCAGGUUCCAGGAAGCUGUUAAAUCAAAGAACAAACCUCAUAAUGAGCACCAUAAUGAUAAGCCUUAUUUUUCUCGUGGUAAAAUAAGGACAUGGAUCUGUCCUCACAGGUAUUUUGAUGCUCUUUUGCAGCUCCCACAAUCCAUUCACAGUAGCUGGGCUCCACAGGAACCACAGGGGGGAAUCUUUUCCUCACUUUCUCUGGUCAGAAACCCAGGGGGAAUACAAAUGGCACACGAAACCUCAUUUCCCUCACUCCCUACAGCAGCAGCUUGGGAGUGCUCAGUUUCUCCCCAUUUAAACCUUUCCAAGCCCUGGCUGAAGGGAGAGUCCCACAGCCACACGGGUGGCAGUGCCAAACACCGACAAAGACAUCUCAAGGGGAGUGAAAUGUGUUUUGGAAUAAGGGAUUCAGAUUUAUUUCCCCUUGCACUCACGGUUUUAUAAGGUGUGUUUUCAUGUUUAGGAGCAAAAGCAAGCCAAAAAAAUUUGAUUUGCAAAACAGCCAAUUCCAAAACAGCUUCUUCCAGGUAAGAAAAAAAUCCCAGCACACAUGAAAACUGCUACAGAAAUCCCCACAAAUGCCAAAUGUCCUCUGUCUUAGGCUCCAUUUAAU